rnacentral:rRNA from 1 species
AUUUAUGGAGAGUUUGAUCCUGGCUCAGAGUGAACGCUGGCGGCGUGCUUAACACAUGCAAGUCGAGCGAGAUUCUACAGCACACCGUAGAGUCUAGCGGCAGACGGGUGAGUAACACGUAGGAAACUUUCCCUGAAAUGGAGGAUACCCCCGAGAAAUCGGGGCUAAUACUGCAUAAGACCACAUUCCGGCAUCGGAAAGAGGUCAAAGGCCCGCAAGGGUCGUUUCGGGAUGGUCCUGCGUCCUAUCAGCUAGUUGGUGAGGUAACGGCUCACCAAGGCUAUGACGGGUAGCCGGCCUGAAAGGGCGAUCGGCCACACUGGAACUGAGACACGGUCCAGACUCCUACGGGAGGCAGCAGUGGGGAAUUUUGGACAAUGGGCG